CUAUAAAAUCUUAAAUUUAAGAUAUAAAAGUUUAUUUAAUACCAAAGAAUAUUUACUAUUCUUUGGUAUUUUUUUGUUAAAAAAGUAGUUAGUAGUUAAAAUAAUUUUCUUUAAUUUAAUUAAUCAUAGAUAAUAUUUUGUAAAUAAAAAUAAAUAUUAAAAAAAUGUAACUUUUAAAAAAAUAAAAAAAUGAUAAAAUCUAUUAUAAAAAUUAAAAAAAUUUUAUUUAAAAAAAAUAAAAAAACAUUGAAAAAUAAAUAUUUUUUUAUAGUUUACAAUUUUAUAGAAAACUGUAAAAGUAUAAAACAUAAGUUUGAUAUUCAAAAAGUAUAAAUAGUUUAUUUUUUGUUUUUUGAUAGAAAACGCUUUAAAAAUUUUAAAAACUAUGUUAUAAUUUCUUCGUAAGAUAAGUUCUUAAAGAUUGUAUAAAAACUUACUUCAUAUAUUUAUACGAAGUUAAGGAAACGAUUAUCUUAAAAAUUUAUUUU
rnacentral:antisense_RNA from 1 species